CAGGGCAUCAUGACCAGGCCUGCUGGUGCUCGCCCAAGCUCAGGGACUGCCAGUUCCGUGAUUUAUCUGCAGCAGAGUUCAUGCAGAGGGAAUUUGUCUUUGGAGUGGGAGAGCCAGACAAAAACACACAAAAUUGUUAAUUAACAAGAUGUGGAAACUCAAGAGAAGUGAGAGAAUACUCAAACAGGAUCUAGCUGCCCUUGGCAGAACACCAUGAAAGCACUGGAGUCUGGCCAACACUCCCUGGAGUCCGGUCCUUCCAGCUGUGCGGGUGACAAGGCAGCCAU